CGGGCAGGCACCUCGCCAACCCGGUCAGGUCCGGAAGGAAGCAGCCGUAACGAGCCCCGCUUGGGUCGUUGUCCAGCCUCU
rnacentral:SRP_RNA from 1 species